rnacentral:tRNA from 1 species
AACUAUUAAAUUAAAUAUAUGUUUUGAAAACAUAAAAAGGAUUAAACUCCAAUAGUUC